UACAGAGGUCUCAAGCGUUGUUCGGAUUCAUUGGGCGUAAAGGGUGCGUAGGCGGCGCUGUAAGUCGGGUGUGAAAUUUCGGAGCUUAACUCCGAAACUGCAUUCGAUACUGCGGUGCUUGAGGACUGGAGAGGAGACUGGAAUUCAUGGUGUAGCAGUGAAAUGCGUAGAGAUCAUGAGGAACACCGGUGGCGAAGGCGGAUCUCUGGGCCUUACCUGACGCUCAGGUGCGAAAGCUAGGGGAGCGAACAGG
rnacentral:rRNA from 1 species